rnacentral:ribozyme from 1 species
UUUACAUGAAAAAAUCAAAUUGGGACAUUAUUGUUUAUAUUGUGAAAAGUAAGUACUAGUACCACUACAACUUCUUGUUUCUUUUUUUUUUUUUUUUUUUUUUUUUUGGGUGUUGUUUUCUUU